CCUACGGGAGGCAGCAGUAGGGAAUAUUGCUCAAUGGGGGAAACCCUGAAGCAGCAACGCCGCGUGGAGGAUGAAGGUUUUAGGUUUGUAAACCCCUAUUGUGAGAGAAGAUAAUGACGGUUUCUCACGAAUAAGCACCUGCUAACUACGUGCCAGCAGCCGCGUUAAUACGGAGGGGGCAAGCGUUACUUGGACUCACUGGGCGUAAAGAGUGCGCAGGCGGGCUUGUAAGUCAGAUGUGAAAUCCUGUAGCUUAACUACAGAAUUGCAUUUGAAACUGUGAGUCUAGAGUGUGGGAGAGGUAGGUGGAAUUCUUGGUGUAGGGGUGAAAUGCGUAGAUAUCAGGAGGAAUACCCAUGGCGAAGGCGACCUACUGGAACAUAACUGACGCUGAGGCACGAAAGCGUGGGGAGCAAACAGGAUUAGAUACCCCAGUAGUC
rnacentral:rRNA from 1 species